rnacentral:rRNA from 1 species
UACAGAGGGGGCCAGCGUUAUUCGGAAUUAUUGGGCGUAAAGGGCGCGUAGGCGGCCAUGCGUGUCUUCCGUGAAAUCCCUCGGCUUAACCGAGGACGUGCGGAAGAAACUGCAAGGCUCGAGUCCGGAAGAGGGGGGCGGAAUUCCCAGUGUAGCGGUGAAAUGCGUAGAUAUUGGGAGGAACACCAGUGGCGAAGGCGGUCCCCUGAGCCGGAACUGACGCUGAGGCGCGAAAGCGUGGGUAGCAAACGGG